AGGGUUCGAUUCUGGCUCAGGAUGAACGCUGGCGGCGUGCUUAACACAUGCAAGUCGAACGGGAUCCAUCAAGCUUGCUUGGUGGUGAGAGUGGCGAACGGGUGAGUAAUGCGUGACCGACCUGCCCCAUGCACCGGAAUAGCUCCUGGAAACGGGUGGUAAUGCCGGAUGCUCCAUCACACUGCAUGGUGUGUUGGGAAAGCCUUUGCGGCAUGGGAUGGGGUCGCGUCCUAUCAGCUUGAUGGCGGGGUAACGGCCCACCAUGGCUUCGACGGGUAGCCGGCCUGAGAGGGCGACCGGCCACAUUGGGACUGAGAUACGGCCCAGACUCCUACGGGAGGCAGCAGUGGGGAAUAUUGCACAAUGGGCGCAAGCCUGAUGCAGCGACGCCGCGUGAGGGAUGGAGGCCUUCGGGUUGUAAACCUCUUUUGUUAGGGAGCAAGGCAUUUUGUGUUGAGUGUACCUUUCGAAUAAGCACCGGCUAACUACGUGCCAGCAGCCGCGGUAAUACGUAGGGUGCAAGCGUUAUCCGGAAUUAUUGGGCGUAAAGGGCUCGUAGGCGGUUCGUCGCGUCCGGUGUGAAAGUCCAUCGCUUAACGGUGGAUCCGCGCCGGGUACGGGCGGGCUUGAGUGCGGUAGGGGAGACUGGAAUUCCCGGUGUAACGGUGGAAUGUGUAGAUAUCGGGAAGAACACCAAUGGCGAAGGCAGGUCUCUGGGCCGUUACUGACGCUGAGGAGCGAAAGCGUGGGGAGCGAACAGGAUUAGAUACCCUGGUAGUCCACGCCGUAAACGGUGGAUGCUGGAUGUGGGGCCCGUUCCACGGGUUCCGUGUCGGAGCUAACGCGUUAAGCAUCCCGCCUGGGGAGUACGGCCGCAAGGCUAAAACUCAAAGAAAUUGACGGGGGCCCGCACAAGCGGCGGAGCAUGCGGAUUAAUUCGAUGCAACGCGAAGAACCUUACCUGGGCUUGACAUGUUCCCGACGAUCCCAGAGAUGGGGUUUCCCUUCGGGGCGGGUUCACAGGUGGUGCAUGGUCGUCGUCAGCUCGUGUCGUGAGAUGUUGGGUUAAGUCCCGCAACGAGCGCAACCCU
rnacentral:rRNA from 1 species